rnacentral:rRNA from 1 species
AGAGUUUGAUCCUGGCUCAGGAUUAACGCUGGCGGCGUGCCUUAUGCAUGCAAGUCGAACGGGCUCCGCAAGGAGCUAGUGGCGAACGGGUGCGUAACACGUAAGUAACCUACCCUGAAGUAUAGGAUAACCCACCGAAAGGUGGACUAAUACUGUAUGUGAUCCGGCCUCACAAGAGGUCGUAUUAAAGCCGCAAGGCGCUACAGGAUGGGCUUGCGUCCGAUUAGCUAGUUGGUGAGGUAACGGCCCACCAAGGCGACGAUCGGUAGCUGGUUUGAGAGGACGACCAGCCACACGGGGACUGAGACACGGCCCCGACUCCUACGGGAGGCAGCAGCAAGGAAUAUUGCGCAAUGGGCGAAAGCCUGACGCAGCGACGCCGCGUGAGGGAAGAAGGUCUUCGGAUUGUAAACCUCUUUUCUUAGGGAAGAAUAAUGACGGUACCUGAGGAAUAAGUCACGGCUAACUACGUGCCAGCAGCCGCGGUAAUACGUAGGUGGCUAGCGUUAUCCGGAUUUACUGGGCGUAAAGAGGGUGCAGGUGGUUUUUCAAGUCGGUUAUAAAAUCUCUCGGCUUAACUGAGAGGGACUGACCGAUACUGUUGGACUAGAGAGUAGCAGAGGGAGAUGGAAUUCCCGGUGUAGUGGUGAAAUGCGUAGAUAUCGGGAGGAACAUCAGUGGCGAAAGCGGUCUCCUAGGCUAUUUCUGACACUGAGGCCCUAAAGCGUGGGGAGCAAACAGGAUUAGAUACCCUGGUAGUCCACGCCCUAAACUAUGGAUACUAGGUAUGGGGGGUAUCGACCCCCUCCGUGCCGAAGUUAACACGUUAAGUAUCCCGCCUGGGGAGUACGGCCGCAAGGUUAAAACUCAAAGGAAUUGAUGG